ensembl:snRNA U6 U6 spliceosomal RNA
GUGCUUGCUUCAGCAGGACAUAUACUAAAAAUGGAACAGUAAUAGGUUAGUAUGGUCCCUGAACAAGAAUGACACUCAAAUUUGUGAGACAUUUCAUAUUUUA